UACGUAGGGUGCGAGCGUUGUCCGGAAUUAUUGGGCGUAAAGAGCUCGUAGGCGGUGUGUCACGUCGGCCGUGAAAACCUGCAGCUUAACUGUGGGCGUGCGGUCGAUACGGGCAUCACUGGAGUUCGGCAGGGGAGACUGGAAUUCCUGGUGUAGCGGUGAAAUGCGCAGAUAUCAGGAGGAACACCGGUGGCGAAGGCGGAUCUCUGGGCCUGUCCUGACGCUCAGGCGCGAAAGCUAGGGGAGCAAACAGG
rnacentral:rRNA from 1 species